rnacentral:rRNA from 1 species
CAAGUCGAGGGGCAACACGAAUGGCAAUAUUUGGUGGCGACCGGCGCACGGGUGCGUAACGCGUAUGCAACCUACCUUUAACUGGAGCAUAGCCCCGAGAANNNNNNNNNNNNNNNNNNNNNNNNNNNNNNNNNNNNNNNNNNNNNNNNNNNNNNNNNNNCGAUUUUUGAUGAACAUGCGUGACAUUAGCUAGAUGGUAAGGUAACGGCUUACCAUGGCUACGAUGUCUAGGGGUUCUGAGAGGAUGAUCCCCCACACUGGUACUGAGACACGGACCAGACUCCUACGGGAGGCAGCAGUGAGGAAUAUUGGUCAAUGGGCGCAAGCCUGAACCAGCCAUCCCGCGUGCAGGAUGACGGCCCUAUGGGUUGUAAACUUCUUUUGUAUGGGAGCAAUAAGGUCUUCGUGAAGACUGAUGAGAGUACCGUAAGAAUAAGGAUCGGCUAACUCCGUGCCAGCAGCCGCGGUAAUACGGAGGAUCCAAGCGUUAUCCGGAUUUACUGGGUUUAAAGGGUGCGUAGGCGGAUUGAUAAGUCAGUGGUGAAAGCCUGCAGCUUAACUGCUGAACUGCCAUGAUACUGUUUUUCUGGAGUAUGGUUGAGGUAGCUGGAAUGUGUCAUGUAGCGGUGAAAUGCUUAGAGAUGACACAGAACACCGACGGCGAAGGCAGGUUACCAACCCAUUACUGACGCUGAGGCACGAAAGCGUGGGGAUCAAACAGGAUUAGAUACCCUGGUAGUCCACGCCGUAAACUAUGAUUACUAGUUGUUGGCGAUACAUUGCCAGUGACUGAGCGAAAGCAUUAAGUAAUCCACCUGGGGAGUACGUUCGCAAGAAUGAAACUCAAAGGAAUUGACGGGGGCCCGCACAAGCGGAGGAGCAUGUGGUUUAAUUCGAUGAUACGCGAGGAACCUUACCUGGGCUCGAACGGUGCAGGAAUAUGGUAGAGAUAUCAUAGCUAGCAAUAGUCUGUAUCGAGGUGCUGCAUGGUUGUCGUCAGCUCGUGCCGUGAGGUGUCGGCUUAAGUGCCAUAACGAGCGCAACCCUUGUCGUUAGUUGCCAUCAAGUAAUGUUGGGGACUCUAGCGAGACUGCCACCGUAAGGUGUGAGGAAGGGGGGGAUGACGUCAAAUCAGCACGGCCCUUAUGUCCAGGGCUACACACGUGCUACAAUGGCCGGUACAAAGGGCAGCAAAGCCGCGAGGUGGAGCCAAUCCCAAAAAGCCGGUCUAGUUCGGAUCGGAGUCUGCAACUCGACUCCGUGAAGUUGGAUUCGCUAGUAAUCGCGCAUCAGCCAUGGCGCGGUGAAUACGUUCCCGGGCCUUGUACACACCGCCCGUCAAACAAUGGAAGCUGGGGGUGCCUGAAGCCCGUGACC